AUACGGAGGGUGCGAGCGUUAAUCGGAAUUACUGGGCGUAAAGCGUACGUAGGCGGUUUGGUAAGUCAGAUGUGAAAGCCCUGAGCUCAACUUGGGAACUGCAUUUGAAACUGCCUGACUAGAGUGUGAUAGAGGAUAGUGGAAUUUCCGGUGUAGCGGUGAAAUGCGUAGAGAUCGGAAGGAACACCAGUGGCGAAGGCGGCUAUCUGGACUAAUACUGACGCUGAGGAGCGAAAGCGUGGGGAGCAAACGGGAUUAGAAACCCCAGUAGUCC
rnacentral:rRNA from 1 species